UACAUUUCAAAUCUGGUGGAAAUGAAAUGGACAAAAAGAAUCAACAUAUUUUGGUUGUUAAAGCAAAUUAUGUCCUACCUAAUUUAUCAGCUAGAUUCUUUCUCUAAUGGACAUUGAUGAAUCCAUUUUAUUUAUAGGUUAUGAUUGACCAUCAUGCUCUUGCCUGCCUUCUUAUUUUGGUUGUUAAAGUAAAUUAUGUCCUACCUAAUUUAUCAGCUAGAUUCUUUCUCUGAUGGACAUUGCUGAAUCCAUUUUAUUUAUAGGUUAUGAUUGACCAUCAUGCUCUUGCCUGCCUUCUUAACCUGUUGACGCAAAAUUACAAAAAAUGCAUUAAAAAGUUAAGUUGCUUGGACUCUUCAAAAAUGUCUACGGGUGCGUGUCGGAUCCUCCAAAAAUAGUGUAUUUUUGAAGGAUCCGACACUGGUGCGACAACAUUUUUGGAGAGUCCGAGCAACUUAGUUAAUAAGGAAGCUUCCUGGACAAUCUCAAACAUUAUAGCUGGUAAUUAAAAUCAAAUUUAGGUAUUUGCGCUUUUUUUAUCAAUUGACAAACAAAUGAAAAGAAGUGAGAGAAAGAGAACCUUUUCAAUGUGAUUCAGUAAUGUAUAAUGAUGCUGAAAAGGGUUUAAUUUAAAUAGGUUGUGAUCGAGGCUGGCAUUAUUGCCCCUCUUGUCCAUCUGCUACAAAAUGCUGAAUUUGAGAUAAAGAAAGAGGCUGCU
rnacentral:lncRNA from 1 species